rnacentral:tRNA from 1 species
GGAGAUGUAGCUUAAUGGAAGAGCACAGGGGUUAGCAUUCACAAGGCCCUGGGUUCAAUCCCCAGCACUUCGA